UUACGACACCCGAAGCAAAGGAAGGAAGGAUUCAGCGGAACAAAAGAAGAUGAUGAUGAUGAUGAAGCAGCAGGCGCAGACGAUUUUGGCCAAGUAUGGUCGGAGAGGGAUUUCAUCCGUCGCCGCUUCCCCCAUGUCCUCGAGGGUCAAGCAUGUUUGGGAGAAUCAGAACAAAUUAGUUCUUGGUUUAGCGUUCUUUGGUGGAUGGUUCGCCAAAGCCUCCAUAAAUGUUUUCAAGAGAAGAGAGGAUUGGUACAGAGUACACAGAUUUUUUGAUGAGGAGGAGAAGCGUCUUGAAGAGAAAUGUGCCCGUUUUCAAAAGGAACUGGAUGAUGAUGUCUAGGCUACAAUUGAUUGUUUUUUUUGUUGUGUUGUUUGGUGUUUUAUCCGCACUCUCGUACUAAUUUAGUGGUGGCUUGCUUCUUGUCUUGUGUUCGUUUGGUGUUUUGAAACUGUUUUUUCUCUUCUUCAUCUCCUAUAAUAUGUUUCCACUUGCAAACCUACUCUACGUUGUAUCUAUGGAAGAAGUAUGUGUUUCCUUGUUAUCAAUCUUGCGGUUUUUUUUCCUACAACAAUGGUAUAAAAUUUACGCUUA